GGCGACCUCAUUGUGCAGCGCGCGUUAUCAGUUGACGAAGCGAGCUGGCCAUUGAGGCGCCGUUUUGUAGCAGAUGGCCGCUGUUGAAGCCGUUUCUUUUGCUGCUAGAAUCCAGUAUCUGAUCGGAGAGCGAAAACAAUGCAUUUGGUCAACAGGGCUACUCGGAGCACCGACUAGAGCAGCCUGCGAUUGAAGGCGAAAAAAUUUGUUACCAAUGUCGUGGCAGUCUACGACGAUGAGAAGACGUGACACAGCAGGCGUAGCCUGAGCACAUCUGCGCUUUUUCCGGAUAGCACGCACGCUACUACUGUGCGUCAUUUCCUGUGGCAUGCGGAUCAUGGCGGCCUUGCUUCCCUCCUACCACUGCUCAUGGAAGAACCUGUAGACCGAAUUCUCACAUCGUCUUCCAACAUGGCUGGAGCACUCGUGCGCUACUGCUAUGUUGCGCCGAUGCUGCCGUUCCGCAUCGUUUCCCACGUAAUGCGGACCAUUGCGGCCAUGCUGCCCUCCUGGCCCCAUCCAUGGAUGACCCGGUAGGCAGACUCAUCACUGAGCCGUCUCUGAAGCCAGCGCUAUUUCUGUGAAAUGGAUCUGGAGCCAUUUCAGCCGGCGAUAUGCAGGUCGUAUCCACUACGUGCAGCCAUAAGGAUGAAAAAAAAAAAGCUGAUCCUCGUUUUGCAUGAAGCAAUCCUGGCUGUUUCAACGUCACAGCACAUUGACAUGACGUCACGCCUUCAAGCAGUCUUGUAGACUCCUUCAGCGAAUAAACGCUUCAUAGAUAUUUUA